GAAAUUCUCUACUAUUCAACUUUUUUCACGAAUCGUUGAACAAGUAGGUGCCUGGGCUUGCUUGCGGUUUGGUUACAGACACACGCUCGCCUUAAAUGCAUUAGCUGGACUUCAGUAGAGUUGUUAAGUAACAUUGAAAACUCUUGUCAUCGAAGUCUGCUUUCGAACCUGUCUCCUCUUCUGAGGUAGAUGUAUAUUUUUUCAA
rnacentral:misc_RNA from 2 species